CCAGCAGGGCCGGGCCGCGGCAUUUUCCAGCCUGGAGGGGCUGAUAAGAGACUGAGCUGAGCUGCCCCCAGACAAGAACUUCUGAAUUUGCCACCUCUUCAGAACAGAGAGAGGUUCCAUUGUUUAAUAUGAUUGAUUUUCCAAGUUUUGUUCAGGAGGCACCUGGAAGAAGCCAAAGUGUCUGAGCUGCCUUCUGCCUGUCCAGGACCAGCCAAACCCUUUGGGGGAGUUUUCCAGCCCAGGAUCAGCUCUGGAAGGAGGAAUGGGAGGACACCAUCUCCUCCCUGGUCCCUUCUCCCCUCAAUGUCACUCACCCCUAAUUCUUAAAUAAUUAAUGUGUGGUGCCUUGCCACACCCCAGAUUUUCCUGCUGGGAAGCCGCUGCCAGUGGCCUCAGGGAGGAGCUGGACUGGCACAAUCCAGAGCUUGUGGGAUGCACAGAAGGACCUUGGAUUUAUCCUUCUGGAGGUCAGAGGUUCCCAUCCCACAGAAUUCACCCCUCACUGGAACUCUGGGCCCUGCUGCUCUGCCCUCCUUGGUGGGAUAUUCCCUGUCCCCCCACCCCAGGCUCUCGGGAAGGCACAGCUGGACCCUGGCACACCCCAGGAGGUGGUUUGGCUGCUCCACCACCCACUCCAUGCAGUGUUUAUGUGCAUUAGGAAGGUUUCCAGCCCUAUGGAGCUGAGCUGAUCUUAAAAAGAAGUUCUUGGAAUGAAGGGCUCUGCCUCCUGCUGGUGCCGGGCUCUGGAGGGCAGCACCAGAUUUUGAGGUGGUUUUGCUUCUCAGGUGAGGACUAAGAAUUCCUGUCAGAGCAGCAGGAGAUGGGAAUGGAGUGAGCAGGCAGGAAAUCAGGGGUAGCAAGAUCCCCAUGGCACCUUCAUUAGGCUGCUGCUCCCCUCCUGGAGAAUCCAGAGGAGGCCAGAUGUUCCCAGCUGCACCUAAAACAGCAGGGACCGAGCACCCAGCUGGUGUUUGGGGUCUGCCCAUGCACUGGGGCUGCCUGGCUGUGUCCAUAAGGUCCCCACAGGAUGGGCUUCAGAGAAGGGUGUCCUUGCCAAGAUGACCUGAGGGUUUGUUUGUGCUGCUCCUGAGCCACACAAAUCCUCAGUCUGUGUGUCCGUCUGCAUCCUGCUGGGAUCCUGCCCCGUGUGACAAUGACUCCUUCCCUGUCACCUGCCCAUGAAAAGUGUGGAUGAACACAAAAAUCCUUCUGCAUUUAAGAAGUCCUGGAGAACAGA